rnacentral:other from 1 species
UCUUCCCUGCGGUGCCCGCGCAAAGGCCCUUAGUUCCUUGAACCGAUGCGCAAUGCGCAAGGUUGCGGGCUCGCACCGUGGUGCGAUCGGCACGCGUUUGCUGAACCUAAGCGGUGCGCGAAGCGACCACCCUGAACCGAUGGUUCAGGACAUCGGCCGGGCGGCAUGCGCGGGGAACCC